GCCGACGUAGCUCAAUGGUAGAGCAGCUGAUUCGUAAUCAGCAGGUUGUAGGUUCGAAUCCUAUCGUCGGCUCCA
rnacentral:tRNA from 1 species